rnacentral:rRNA from 1 species
AUACGGAGGGGGCAAGCGUUGUUCGGAAUUACUGGGCGUAAAGCGCGCGUAGGCGGGCUGGUUAGUUGGGGGUGAAAUCCCAGGGCUUAACCCUGGAACUGCCUUCAAUACUGCCAGUCUAGAGUUCGAGAGAGGUGAGUGGAAUUCCUAGUGUAGAGGUGAAAUUCGUAGAUAUUAGGAAGAACACCAGUGGCGAAGGCGGCUCACUGGCUCGAUACUGACGCUGAGGUGCGAAAGCGUGGGGAGCAAACAGGAUUAGAAACCCCAGUAGUCC